rnacentral:rRNA from 1 species
GGGGGCCCGCACAAGCGGCGGAGCAUGCGGAUUAAUUCGAUGCAACGCGAAGAACCUUACCAAGGCUUGACAUGGGCCGGACCGGGCUGGAAACAGUCCUUCCCCUUUGGGGCCGGUUCACAGGUGGUGCAUGGUUGUCGUCAGCUCGUGUCGUGAGAUGUUGGGUUAAGUCCCGCAACGAGCGCAACCCUCGUUCCAUGUUGCCAGCGCGUAAUGGCGGGGACUCAUGGGAGACUGCCGGGGUCAACUCGGAGGAAGGUGGGGAUGACGUCAAAUCAUCAUGCCCCUUAUGUCUUGGGCUUCACGCAUGCUACAAUGGCCGGUACAAAGGGCUGCAAUACCGCGAGGUGGAGCGAAUCCCAAAAAGCCGGUCCCAGUUCGGAUUGAGGUCUGCAACUCGACCUCAUGAAGUCGGAGUCGCUAGUAAUCGCAGAUCAGCAACGCUGCGGUGAAUACGUUCCCGGGUCUUGUACACACCGCCCGUCAAGUCAUGAAAGUCGGUAACACCUGAAGCCGGUGGCCUAACCCUUGUGGAGGGAGCCGUCGAAGGUGGGAUCGGUAAUUAGGACUAAGUCGUAACNAGGUAACCGUAAGGGC